GACGAACGCUGGCGGCGUGCUUAACACAUGCAAGUCGAACGCUGAAGCUUGGUGCUUGCACUGGGUGGAUGAGUGGCGAACGGGUGAGUAAUACGUGAGUAACCUGCCCUUGACUCUGGGAUAAGCCUGGGAAACUGGGUCUAAUACUGGAUACGACAUGUCACCGCAUGGUGGUGUGUGGAAAGGGUUUUGCUGGUUUUGGAUGGGCUCACGGCCUAUCAGCUUGUUGGUGGGGUAAUGGCUCACCAAGGCGACGACGGGUAGCCGGCCUGAGAGGGUGACCGGCCACACUGGGACUGAGACACGGCCCAGACUCCUACGGGAGGCAGCAGUGGGGAAUAUUGCACAAUGGGCGGAAGCCUGAUGCAGCGACGCCGCGUGAGGGAUGACGGCCUUCGGGUUGUAAACCUCUUUCAGCACGGAAGAAGCGAAAGUGACGGUACGUGCAGAAGAAGCGCCGGCUAACUACGUG
rnacentral:rRNA from 1 species